rnacentral:rRNA from 1 species
GUUUAACACAUGCAAGUCGAGGGGAAACGACAUCAAAAGCUUGCUUUUGAUGGGCGUCGACCGGCGCACGGGUGAGUAACGCGUAUCCAACCUGCCCACCACUUGGGAAUAACCUUGCGAAAGUAAGACUAAUACCCAAUGAUAUCUCUAGAAGGCAUCAGAAAGAGAUUAAAGAUUUAUCGGUGAUGGAUGGGGAUGCGUCUGAUUAGCUUGUUGGCGGGGUAACGGCCCACCAAGGCUACGAUCAGUAGGGGUUCUGAGAGGAAGGUCCCCCACAUUGGAACUGAGACACGGUCCAAACUCCUACGGGAGGCAGCAGUGAGGAAUAUUGGUCAAUGGACGAGAGUCUGAACCAGCCAAGUAGCGUGCAGGAUGACGGCCCUAUGGGUUGUAAACUGCUUUUAUAAGGGAAUAAAGUGAGUCUCGUGAGACUUUUUGCAUGUACCUUAUGAAUAAGGACCGGCUAAUUCCGUGCCAGCAGCCGCGGUAAUACGGAAGGUCCGGGCGUUAUCCGGAUUUAUUGGGUUUAAAGGGAGCGUAGGCCGGAGAUUAAGCGUGUUGUGAAAUGUAGACGCUCAACGUCUGCACUGCAGCGCGAACUGGUUUCCUUGAGUACGCACAAAGUGGGCGGAAUUCGUGGUGUAGCGGUGAAAUGCUUAGAUAUCACGAAGAACUCCGAUUGCGAAGGCAGCUCACUGGAGCGCAACUGACGCUGAAGCUCGAAAGUGCGGGUAUCGAACAGGAUUAGAUACCCUGGUAGUCCGCACGGUAAACGAUGGAUGCCCGCUGUUGGUCUGAAUAGGUCAGCGGCCAAGCGAAAGCAUUAAGCAUCCCACCUGGGGAGUACGCCGGCAACGGU